rnacentral:rRNA from 1 species
GAUGAACGCUGGCGGCGUGCCUAAUACAUGCAAGUCGAGCGAACGGACGAGAAGCUUGCUUCUCUGAUGUUAGCGGCGGACGGGUGAGUAACACGUGGAUAACCUACCUAUAAGACUGGGAUAACUUCGGGAAACCGGAGCUAAUACCGGAUAAUAUUUUGAACCGCAUGGUUCAAAAGUGAAAGACGGUCUUGCUGUCACUUAUAGAUGGAUCCGCGCUGCAUUAGCUAGUUGGUAAGGUAACGGCUUACCAAGGCAACGAUGCAUAGCCGACCUGAGAGGGUGAUCGGCCACACUGGAACUGAGACACGGUCCAGACUCCUACGGGAGGCAGCAGUAGGGAAUCUUCCGCAAUGGGCGAAAGCCUGACGGAGCAACGCCGCGUGAGUGAUGAAGGUCUCCGGAUCGUAAAACUCUGUUAUUAGGGAAGAACAUAUGUGUAAGUAACUGUGCACAUCUUGACGGUACCUAAUCAGAAAGCCACGGCUAACUACGUGCCAGCAGCCGCGGUAAUACGUAGGUGGCAAGCGUUAUCCGGAAUUAUUGGGCGUAAAGCGCGCGUAGGCGGUUUUUUAAGUCUGAUGUGAAAGCCCACGGCUCAACCGUGGAGGGUCAUUGGAAACUGGAAAACUUGAGUGCAGAAGAGGAAAGUGGAAUUCCAUGUGUAGCGGUGAAAUGCGCAGAGAUAUGGAGGAACACCAGUGGCGAAGGCGACUUUCUGGUCUGUAACUGACGCUGAUGUGCGAAAGCGUGGGGAUCAAACAGGAUUAGAUACCCUGGUAGUCCACGCCGUAAACGAUGAGUGCUAAGUGUUAGGGGGUUUCCGCCCCUUAGUGCUGCAGCUAACGCAUUAAGCACUCCGCCUGGGGAGUACGACCGCAAGGUUGAAACUCAAAGGAAUUGACGGGGACCCGCACAAGCGGUGGAGCAUGUGGUUUAAUUCGAAGCAACGCGAAGAACCUUACCAAAUCUUGACAUCCUUUGACAACUCUAGAGAUAGAGCCUUCCCCUUCGGGGGGCAAAGUGACAGGUGGUGCAUGGUUGUCGUCAGCUCGUGUCGUGAGAUGUUGGGUUAAGUCCCGCAACGAGCGCAACCCUUAAGCUUAGUUGCCAUCAUUAAGUUGGGCACUCUAAGUUGACUGCCGGUGACAAACCGGAGGAAGGUGGGGAUGACGUCAAAUCAUCAUGCCCCUUAUGAUUUGGGCUACACACGUGUUACAAUGGACAAUACAAAGGGCAGCGAAACCGCGAGGUCAAGCAAAUCCCAUAAAGUUGUUCUCAGUUCGGAUUGUAGUCUGCAACUCGACUACAUGAAGCUGGAAUCGCUAGUAAUCGUAGAUCAGCAUGCUACGGUGAAUACGUUCCCGGGUCU